ensembl:lncRNA
AGUGUAUUGGUGGCAAAAAAAAAAAAAAAAGGCUCAUAUCAUAUGUCCCAGUAUUGGACCUAUACUGGGGUUCAUACAGGUAUCUGGUAUUUGCAUGAAUCUGUGAUGAUGUUUGUGAACUAAAUGUGUGAUUAGUUAAGCCUGAUGAGACUAAUUUGCAGGAAUGCUUUUCAGUGGAAAUUUGUUCAGAUACAGGUCCUGAUUGUUUCUGUGAUUAGUCUUCAUCCACAAACACAGGUCUAAAAGGCACUUCCCAAACCUAAUCCCCUGCUGUUUACUUUCAUAUUUUUUCAAUCUCCCUCUUAAAACUAAUUAGGUUAUUUUCCUUAUGUCAUUCCUACUGAGAGGCUCUCUGGGCUCUGAUGGCUAGGCACUUCCUAGUUUCCUGACUGAAUGUAUUCAUAGCAGUUAUAAUCCUUUUUGUCCUAGUGCCAAUAUCUUGCUUGAAUUUAGACAGUCCUUGUUCCUCUGUAGUGUUUAUCUUUGAUGUCUUUGCAGAGUGCUGUCACGUACUGUCGUUUCCCUUGCUUUUAAGUCAAAUAAGGCAUGCUCUUUUACAAUCUUCCCAUAAUAUAUACACCACAGGGACCCAUCUCAGAGAAUAUUCCAGCUGACAUUGACCUGUUUCUUAGAUGGAUGACAAAAAUUGCUCAAGUCUGCUGUGUAAUUCACCAACGUUUUAGAGAAGAAUAUUGGUAAAACUUUUAUUUCUUCCUGGUACAUUUUAAGCUAAUGUUUAGCUUUUCUAUCACUCUCUCAGGUGAGUGACCAGUUUGGAAAUUGUUGUCAGCUGGCAGUAAAUACAACAAAUGAAGUCCACAGGUGUAAAAUGCAGUCUAUCAAACUGAGCCCCAGUCUGUUGAGCUCCAGCUCUGCUGUUUUUAUGCAAUGUAGCACUGUGGUAUUUCAAAAGUAUUUGGAAGCAAACAAAUUCAAAAGACAACCAAAAAACUGUAACAGACCCUUCUGGAUUUGCCUGUGGUUUCUCACAGUGAGGACGGCUUUCCUCUGGCUAGUGGAAGGAAACAUCUCUGGGCUGGUUAGUGAAUCACAGUCCGUGAUGGAGGCCCCUGACCCAACCUGCUAGUCAUGCUUGAAAUUAGCCGUUGAACUGAUCAGAUCUGAUCACCACGCUGUCACCUCCUGAAGAAAGGAGGGUCGGUCCUUCAUGGUCUCCUUGCCAAAGCUGCCGCUCAGGUUGCAAGAUGUACAUUGUUUUUGCCUGUCUGCGUGCAGACAUAACACCUAAAACUUCAAAGUGAUAGCAAAAGUAAAAUACAGGUUCUUCUGCUACAGAAGGUGUCUUGAUAGCUCCUUGCUGGAUGUUCUUUCUACCAUCUGGCAGAAGGAGAUGGUGCACAUGCAUGCAUACAGAUACCCACAGGCAGCCACUUUGCAACACUGACUGUACGGUGUGCAAAGACUUUUUCUUCCUUAAGAGGCAGCGUGCUUCACAUUUCGUUUCAUUAAAGUCAGAACAAUUCAUGCCAAAGGGAUCAAGAACCUAAUGGAAAAAUCAGUCUUGGAAAAUGCAUAUUUGGAAAGGGUUACUACCACACUGGGCGGUUGGCAUUGCUUUGCUUAUUAGAUUUGCUAGUGCUUGAGAGUGAUGGAAUGCUUCAGCAGUGCAGUAAUAUUAAAGCAGCUGAAUGGCUUGGGUUUCCCCUUUACUCCUAGGUGAAAGGCAGAGGAAAGAAAUGCUUUAAGAGGAAAGCAGCAAGAUGAGAAUUUGCUGCUUGCCACCAUCAGCUCUGGGAGGAAUUUGACCAAAAUGAAGGACUGGCACUGGCAAAUAUCAGCUUUGCCUUGGGGAGUGUAGAGUUAAUUAGAAAGCCAGAGCCAGCCUUGCAAAAAUCGCAUCUGUGCUGUCAUGUACACCAAGUAACCCAAAAGAAUGUGGUUUGUCUCCAUAAUAGUGACUUACAGGGCCAAAUAACACUUCUCCAAACCUUUGGCUAACAGCCAUAGAAGUCUUCUUUAAACAGAUGCUGUCAACAUGAAAAAUCAUUAUAUGUAUUCGUUUGGAGAUAUAUAUCUUUAUUAAUGUUCCUAACCUGUGUUACUAAAAUAAACUCUUUUUGCUUUAAGCCUCA